rnacentral:siRNA from 1 species
CUACCAUUAGGCAAUCUCCAUCAG